UUACAAUAGCAGUUGCUAAUAAACAUCCAGUUAUUACACUACCAACUGAUCAUAUUAAGAUAUUCUCCAGUACAUGGCCUGAUUCAUCACCAGGUGUUACUUAUCAUUAUCAUUGGAGGAGAUUGUUUGGUCCUAAGAAGGGAAACCUCAAUGGAGUCAAUGAUAAAACCAUCUCAUUGAGUCACUUGGUUGCUGGUAUACAGUCUUGAAGUAUUAGUUUAUGAUGAUGAAGGAAACUACGGAAGAGAUUUUGUUAACAUUACAGUUAGACCAGAGCCCCAUGUCAACAAGGCUCCUAUUGUUAUCAUAUCCCCCAGCACUAACAUCACUAUAAAACCCUCCGAUAAACUAAUACUAGAUGCCU